GAUGAACGCUGGCGGCGUGCCUAAUACAUGCAAGUCGAGCGAACAGACGAGGAGCUUGCUCCUCUGACGUUAGCGGCGGACGGGUGAGUAACACGUGGAUAACCUACCUAUAAGACUGGGAUAACUUCGGGAAACCGGAGCUAAUACCGGAUAAUAUAUUGAACCGCAUGGUUCAAUAGUGAAAGACGGUUUUGCUGUCACUUAUAGAUGGAUCCGCGCCGCAUUAGCUAGUUGGUAAGGUAACGGCUUACCAAGGCAACGAUGCGUAGCCGACCUGAGAGGGUGAUCGGCCACACUUGAACUGAUACACGGUCCAGCCUCCUCCGGGAGGCAGCAGUAGGGACUCUUCCGCAAUGGGCGAAAGCCUGACGGAGCAACGCCGCGUGAGUGAUGAAGGUCUUCGGAUCGUAAAACUCUGUUAUUAGGGAAGAACAAAUGUGUAAGUAACUAUGCACGUCUUGACGGUACCUAAUCAGAAAGCCACGGCUAACUACGUG
rnacentral:rRNA from 1 species